ACAAACAGAAACUAGACAUAUAUAAAUUGGUCCAAGAAGUACAUGAUACUAGUCCAAACAGUACAUAAUAAUAGCUACCAUAGAUAUAUAUACAAGUGUUCGACGUUAAGAACACUACUCGUCUGAAUCAUCUAAAUCAGAAUGUCCACGUUCCUCGAGGUGACGCUGGCCAUAGUUCAUGACUCGAAUCUUGCGGUACAACUCGUAUGAAACGUAUGCAACUUUUGCUGCAUACUCAAUGUUGAUAUCAUCAAGUGGGCCCUUCUCCCAAAGUCUGUGUUGAGACUUUGGGAAACUGGUCUUCAUAUCACCAUAUGACUCGUCGAUCAAGGCAACUGCCAU
rnacentral:lncRNA from 1 species